AGCGAACGCUGGCGGCAGGCCUAACACAUGCAAGUCGAACGAUCCUGCGGGAUAGUGGCGGACGGGUGAGUAACACGUGGGAACGUACCUUUAGGUUCGGGAUAGCUCAGGGAAACUUGAGCUAAUACCGGAUGUGCCCUUCGGGGGAAAGAUUUAUCGCCUUUAGAGCGGCCCGCGUUAGAUUAGCUAGUUGGUGAGGUAAAGGCUCACCAAGGCUCCGAGCUAUAGCUGGUCUGAGAGGAUGAUCAGCCACACUGGGACUGAGACACGGCCCAGACUCCUACGGGAGGCAGCAGUGGGGAAUCUUGCGCAAUGGGCGAAAGCCUGACGCAGCCAUGCCGCGUGAAUGAUGAAGGUCUUAGGAUUGUAAAAUUCUUUUAGCAGGGACGAUAAUGACGGUACCUGCAGAAAAAGCCCCGGCUAACUUCGUGCCAGCCGCCGCAGUAACAC
rnacentral:rRNA from 1 species